UACGUAGGGGGCAAGCGUUGUCCGGAUUUAUUGGGCGUAAAGAGCGUGUAGGCGGCCAGGUAGGUCCGUUGUGAAAACUCGAGGCUCAACCUCGAGACGUCGGUUGAAACCAUCUGGCUAGAGUCCGGAAGAGGAGAGUGGAAUUCCCGGUGUAGCGGUGAAAUGCGCAGAUAUCGGGAAGAACACCCGUGGCGAAGGCGGCUCUCUGGGACGGUACUGACGCUGAGACGCGAAAGCGUGGGGAGCGAACAGG
rnacentral:rRNA from 1 species